GACGAACGCUGGCGGCGUGCCUAAUACAUGCAAGUAGAACGCUGAAGGAGGAGCUUGCUUCUCUGGAUGAGUUGCGAACGGGUGAGUAACGCGUAGGUAACCUGCCUGGUAGCGGGGGAUAACUCUUGGAAACGAUAGCUAAUACCGCAUAAGAGUAGAUGUUGCAUGACAUUUGCUUAAAAGGUGCAAUUGCAUCACUACUAGAUGGACCUGCGUUGUCUUAGCUAGUUGGUGGGGUAACGGCUCACCAAGGCGACGAUACAUAGCCGACCUGGGGGGGUGAUCGGCCACAAUGGGACUGAGACACGGCCCAGACUCCUACGGGGGGCAGCAGGAGGGAAUCUUCGGCAAUGGACGGAAGUCUGACCGAGCAACGCCGCGUGAGUGAAGGAGGGUCUCGGAUCGUAAAGCUCUGUUGUAAGAGAAGAACGAGUGUGAUAGUGGAAAGUUCACACUGUGACGGUAUCUUACCAGAAAGGGACGGCUAACUACGUG
rnacentral:rRNA from 1 species